rnacentral:rRNA from 1 species
UUUGGAGGGCAAGUCUGGUGCCAGCAGCCGCGGUAAUUCCAGCUCCAAUAGCGUAUAUUAAAGUUGUUGCAGUUAAAAAGCUCGUAGUUGAAUUUCGGGGUUAGUAGGUUGGUCAUGCCUACUGGUAUGUACUGGUCUCACUGAUUCCUCCUUCCUGACGAACCGCGAAUGUCGUGGGGGCGC